rnacentral:misc_RNA from 1 species
UGGAAUCCUAAACAAAAAUAUUAUUUUCCGCCUUCAUUAAGAUUAAUGUAGUAGUAAUAAAAAAAUGUUGAAUUAUUUCUAUAAAGCUUUUCCUAAACCUACGAAAUAAGUAGUGAAUGUUAACAAGUAGGUAUUGAUAACACGUUUUUCAUUUUAUUUAACAUGUCAAUUCAUGUCUUAGUACGUCUAUUGUUUUAUUUUACGAUUCUAAUUACGAACUAAGUAAUUCCAAACGCGGUAACGACAUUCGAAUGUAACACGUUUACAUCUAUUAUUCCAACAAAAAUAAUGAAAUAAUAAGCCCGCCCGUGCUAUUAGUACAUGCUGGUUUGUCGCCAGCGAGGAAUGACAGGUGAGGACAAAUUAUGUUAGUUAGUCCAUAGUAUCAAAUUCAGGAGGGACCGCGUGAAGGUCGACCUGAUAUUAUCCCCUUUACUAAAAAUCUUGUCAUUUCAAGCAAGCACCUGAGUUAAAUAAAAUAUAUAAUUUAAAGUUGGAUCCACAAGAAAAAAACGGCUUCUUCAGUGUUAAAACAAUUAAUAUUGUAUUAAAUUUUGAUUACAGUUAUCGGUUUUACAUAUGGCAUUCUAUUAUACUUAAUAGAUACAAAAAAUAGUAAAAGUGGAUGUAUAAUAAAAAUAAUAUUAUAUUUGUACACUUUUAUUAUAAUCACAAUCUAAUUUAACAUUAAGUUAUAAUUUGAUAAUAUAUUUUUGACUUUAAAAAUACUGUUGAUCAAGACAAGGUUAGGUAACUAUUAGUAAAUACGCCAAGUAUAAAAAUGUAGUUUCAAAACGCAAUGCAGGACUGUCAUUGUCACUCAAGAUGACAUUUGUCAUAGUUGACACUUGACAUUUACCAGUCAGAUUUAAUAUCUUCAAAAUGAUAAACAAAACAGCAAUAAUUGAAAUUAUUGUUAAAAAUACUGCUUAUUUUUUAUUUUUCGCUUAAAUAUUGAUAUGUUUUCGUGUAAAAUAACACAUAUUAAAAGUGAAAUUGUGAUAGUUCUUUACAUAACCUAAAAAUACUGUUACGUUGUAGAAAGUUUGCGAAACAAGUGUUAUUAGCUAUUAACAAAAUGGAAAUACAUUUUUAAACGUAUUGUGUAAAAAAGUAUAUGUGUCCAGAUGGUAUUUUAUAUAUACGUAAAGUAUUUGUUUGAAGAGGAGCAAGAAAAAUAUUGAAAUGAACAAAAAAUAAUAUAUAAAAAAAGGAAGCAUUUACUUACAGCCACUGUAGUAAUUUGAUCCUAAAAUUGUGAAUUGAGGAGGAAUACAUUUUGCCAUGUGGUCCCGGCAUAGAAUAAACCAUACCUUCCUUUCCCAUGGGUGUUGUACGAGGUAACUAAGGGAGGAUGAGGGAUGGACAGUAAUAUCCCUCUUAAAACAUCUUAAAAGCCUAUACUGCGGUUGCCAAUCCACCUGCCAAACUUGGCAACUAAGGGCAAAACCCCCCAAGGGUAAGGCUUAUUUUCAUCAGUGGACAGCUGAUAUGAUGAUGAAAUUUUAUAGUAUAUGUUAAACUAUUGUUGUAGAUGAAUUGUAAAUAGGUAUUUCUAUUUAGUUUAUCUUGGCAUCAAGUUCUUUGUGAGAUAGAUGGAGAGAACUGAGUGGCAAAGGUUACUUACAUACAUAUAUCUUGCUUGCUUCAUCCAGUUUCGUAACCUAUCUUGUGCGUAUUGCCACUUCGACUCCUACAUCAGGUAGCGUAUGGUCAGAUAACAAAAUUAUUUUAUAGAAAUCCAAAAAUCUGUAAUCUGUACUUAAAACCCAUACAUAUCUGUAUUGAUGUUUAGUUAAGUACUUAUACUUUCUUUUUAUUGGCAUUCAAGAAAUUAGUUUUGUAUUACCAUAUUAUUUUGAAAUAAUUUGACCAUUUUAGUAAUUUUUUUAUACAUUUUUUUUAUGGUUUAUAACUGAUUUAAUGUUGUCUUAAGUGGCUUUAUUUGGAAGAUCCAUGCAAAACUCAUCUUGUCACAAGCGCUAUUUUUAAUCUCUGAAAUGUUGAAACAUGUCUGGUUGAUAUUUUUUUUUAUUAUUAUUAUAAUAAUAUACAAAUGAUACUGAAUAAACAUUUUUUUUAUUAACUUUU